rnacentral:rRNA from 1 species
AUUGAACGCUGGCGGCAGGCCUAACACAUGCAAGUCGAACGAGUGGCGGACGGGUGAGUAAUGUCUGGGAAACUGCCUGAUGGAGGGGGAUAACUACUGGAAACGGUAGCUAAUACCGCAUAACAUCAGAUGUGCCCAGAGGGGAUUAGCUUGUUGGUGGGGUAACGGCUCACAAAGGCGACGAUCCCUAGCUGGUCUGAGAGGAUGACCAGCCACACUGGAACUGAGACACGGUCCAGACUCCUACGGGAGGCAGCAGUGGGGAAUAUUGCACAAUGGGCGAAAGCCUGAUGCAGCCAUGCCGCGUGUAUGAAGAAGGUCUUCGGGUUGUAAAGUACUUUCAGCUGGGAGGCGUUACCCGCAGAAGAAGCACCGGCUAACUUCGUGCCAGCAGCCGCGGUAAUAC